rnacentral:rRNA from 1 species
UGGGGAAUAUUGGGCAAUGGGCGCAAGCCUGACCCAGCAACGCCGCGUGAAGGAAGAAGGCUUUCGGGUUGUAAACUUCUUUUAAGAGGGACGAAGGAGGUGACGGUACCUCUUGAAUAAGCCACGGCUAACUACGUGCCAGCAGCCGCGGUAAUACGUAGGUGGCAAGCGUUAUCCGGAUUUAUUGGGUGUAAAGGGCGUGUAGGCGGGACUGCAAGUCAGAUGUGAAAAUCUCAGGGCUCAACCCUGAGCCUGCAUUUGAAACUGUAGUUCUUGAGUGCUGGAGAGGCAAUCGGAAUUCCGUGUGUAGCGGUGAAAUGCGUAGAUAUACGGAGGAACACCAGUGGCGAAGGCGGAUUGCUGGACAGUAACUGACGCUGAGGCGCGAAAGCGUGGGGAGCAAACAGGAUUAGAUACCC